CAAGUAUCAUAAUACAUAAACCAUAUGGCCUCGACAUAAAUCUCAAAAUAAAUAACAUAUAAUUAUGACAAUCUUACUAGAAGCUUAUACAAGACUCCAUGCAAUAAAGAAAAACGAGGAAUGCACCAUGCAAACUCGGGUACUCACGUCUCCACGAACAAUCUCAAGCUGGACGUCUACACCGUUUUUAGAAAUGGUGAGGCGGUCAACCAAACGACCACUCGGGGGUUGGAUAACAUUCACAUAAAAAAUAUAUAAACAUAAAUAUAGCAUUCUAGGAUUCAAGUAAAUCAUGAAUAUAUACAAAUUCAUCAUUCCUAGAAUACUAGCUUCACAUGAAUAUCAUCUUCAAUAAAUCAUAACCUCAUCAACAAGUCAUCACAUUAUCCACAAUUCCAUAACAUCAUCUUAAGUGUACAGAUAUCAUCAAUCAAUUAUAUAGAGUACACAACAUCACAUCAUACACAUAAUUCACCAAAGUCACAUAAUCAAGUAUUAGACAUUUCACAUAAGUUAUAUGCAUGUAAUGUCCUAAACACACCUCUACAUGCAUGUGAUACCAUUUGGAUAUCAUAUAUAAUUUUACCGAGAGAUCUGCCAUCGUUAAUAACCAUCAACAACAACCAUCGACAAUAGGACUUGAUCGUCAAUGCAUGAACAUAUGAGUCGACAUUGAAUAUAUCCAUACACUAUAACACAAGUCAUCAACAAUCAUCAACAAUUUCCAUCGACAAUAUUCAUCACCAAUAAUCAUCAACAAUGUCCAUUAACAUUUCCAUCAACAAUAUUCUUCAACGAUAUUCAUCACCAUUAUAUACAUAUAUACAUCACCAAGUCAUACAUAUGCAUAUACACACCAUCAUGAAUUUAUUAUCAUCAAUAAAUAAUCUUCACCAAAUUUAUCAUCAAUUCAAUCAUUAAAUAUCACUUAAACAAUAGGUAACCAUCAUUUACAAGUUAACCAGCAUAAAUCAUCAUUUAACAAAGUCCGUCUAUUUUUCUCCAAAGUUCGUCUAUUUUUCACUUUCACACAAUUCAUCAUAUCUCAUGCAUAUUAGUCAUCAAAUCAAUCAUAAUCCAACAUAUUAUCAUGAGCAAAAAGUUAAUUUCAAGCUAACAAGUCAUAUUUCAACAUUUCACCAAAGUUCGUCUAUAAAUUCCAAAGUUCGUCUAUUUUGACAUUUUUCAUCAAAACCAAGUUACAUGCCCUUAUAGUUCUUCAUCAAUCCUACAUGCUUCACCUAAGUUCAUCAUUACAGAAAACCAAUCAUAAAAUCAUCAUUUCACUUAAGAAAAAUUAUCAUUCGAAUAUUUCAAG
rnacentral:lncRNA from 1 species